rnacentral:rRNA from 1 species
GAUGAGCGCUGGCGGCGUGCCUAAUACAUGCAAGUCGAGCGAACGGACGAGAAGCUUGCUUUUCUGAUGUUAGCGGCGGACGGGUGAGUAACACGUGGAUAACCUACCUAUAAGACUGGGAUAACUUCGGGAAACCGGAGCUAAUACCGGAUAAUAUUUUGAACCGCAUGGUUCAAAAGUAAAAGACGGUCUUGCUGUCACUUAUAGAUGGAUCCGCGCUGCAUUAGCUAGUUGGUAAGGUAACGGCUUACCAAGGCAACGAUGCAUAGCCGACCUGAGAGGGUGAUCGGCCACACUGGAACUGAGACACGGUCCAGACUCCUACGGGAGGCAGCAGUAGGGAAUCUUCCGCAAUGGGCGAAAGCCUGACGGAGCAACGCCGCGUGAGUGAUGAAGGUCUUCGGAUCUUAAAACUCUGUUAUUAGGGAAGAACAUAUGUGUAAGUAACUGUGCACAUCUUGACGGUACCUAAUCAGAAAGCCACGGCUAACUACGUG